AGUGUUCUCACUGCAAUGAGACCAGGCAAAGCCAAGGUCCCCAGCACACCCUCCGCGCGGGGACUCUUCCCGUGCAAUUAGUUUAUCCUUCAGGCUGUGACCUUUCCCAGCGCCAGCUGAGGCACUCUCACUUGGGGCCCUGUCCAAUCUUUGAUCUCGGCGACACAGAACCAGCGAAACUGCCCAGGGUGCCCAACUGGCCUCUCACCCCCACGCCUGUGCCCCGGUGUCUUCUGCUUCCCUAGGACGGGGCCGGACUGCGGCUGUCCGCUCUUCCGCUCGAUGACACUAUGGGAUGGUUGAUAUCACUAUCUCCUCUUUACAGAAAUAAAUAAAACAUUAAAAAAAAAAAAAAAGAAAUAGGGGACAGACCCCUUUCACUGGUUUCCAGUUUGGACUUGUCGCUGAUCUCAAGUCACUGUGGAUGACAGAUGUUUCCUUUACUCGGACACACUAUUGUGUAGCUGAAUAUUUCUUUAAAAUGCUAUUCCACUGUUUCUUUUUCUUUCCCCUGUAAACUAUAGAUUUUUUUAAGAAGCCAAAUGGGGUGCUAAAAUACAGCCAGAUUUAUUCUGGGGCCAUCGUUACUCUUAACAUAUUGGCUCAGGAUACCCUGUUAUCGAUGAAGCCCCACCUCUACAUGGUCCUUCUCCUUUCCUGUUCCUCCAAAUUUAGAUGCUGUGUGUUAGCAAACCAGGUACUACCUUAAAUUGUGUCCUGUACAGGAACUCUCUGGGCACCAGCCACCAUCACUUCCACAUUAGGACUUCUUUGUAGGAGCUUCUCAUUGUUCAUGGUGGUUACGUUCUGUAGAGAAACUUCAGAUUCUGAAUUUCCCGACACGGAGCUAUUAUCCCCAGAGGAAAUACGGGGUCAGCUUCUCAAAAACCUGUGGCCACAACAUUUUCAUGACCGAAUCGAUAUAUAACCUUGCUUUAUUUGUGUUUCUGUUUAAAAAUGCCUCCUUUAAUAGCUGGUGCUGAUUCAUUAACACUGAACUCAAAACCAACAGCCCUGUGUCUCAUGCCUAAAAGAAGCUUAUGGAAAGUACAUAUUUGUUCUAUAAAACACAUCGCAGCCCCGUCAUGCUUACAGACACUGGACGGAACUCAGCAUUAUGCCCGAGGCCAUGUUACACAACCACGCCACCAAGAAAAAGCACAAAAAUGUCAAAACUGUGGGAUUAAAUAGACUGCAAAAAAGACACUCGUUCAUAGUCUGUGAGCAGAAAUAAGAAGGCAAAACAUCACCCUGUUCGGCCUCAGCUGGGAACUUGUGAGUUGGGCAAAGCAAAUUUUUUGCCUUUCUGCACGUCCCCAGAUGACCAAGAAACGUGGUGAGUAAUGAUAUGGGGGCUACAAUCAAAUGUUGUAAAUGCAGAAUCUGUGAAUACUGAGGAUUGAUUGGGUUUCUAUGCCCUACGGCGUCACGAGUGUCACCUUAUUACAGGCAUCGACAUCAGAGAUGUGCUUGGAACCCACCGCAGGUCUCCAACUCCUAGCUCUUCAAGCCAGAAACCCAAGGGGUAUUGUUCUGACUACAUGACAUUUCUCUCUCCCCAAAUCACCAUUCCUUGGUCAGCUAAGAUUCCCAGAUGCAAAAGAAAGUCAGAAAAACAUCUACUCUGUUUUAUUUAAGGACUUGGACUCUCUUCACCCUGCUGCUCAGGGAGUUUGAGAGCAGACAUCACCCUGAACUUCCCACCCUCCGUGGUGCCCAGCGCUUUGUGGAGAUAAAAUGCUUUCGUUGAGAAAGGGCAAGAACACUAUCAUUGCACGACUGGUCUAGACUUCCUCGUAUCAACCAAUGGAGCAAGAAAAGAUAAUUCUUCAUCAGAGGAGGGGCAAGCUGCAGAGAAGCUGAAAAAUUGUGCAGGGACUACUUGUAUAAACCUCAUUGAGAUUCACCACUUGUUCACAUUUGGUAUUUUAUUUACCUCUAAUAUAUAUUGUAAUGGGCUGAAUGAUGUCCCUCUUAAAUUCAUUUGUGGAAGUCCUAACCCCUGGCACCUCAGAAUAUGAUUGUAUUUAGGCCUAGGUCUUUAAGGAAGUCAUCAAGUUAAAAUGAAGCUAGUAGGGAGGGCCCCAAUCCAAUAGUAACUGUCCUUCUAAGAGGAAAUUAGAGAAAGACACAGAGGAAAACUGAUGUGAAGACACAGGGAGAAGAUGGCCAUCUCCAAGCCAAGAAGAGAGGCUUCAGAAGAAAUUGAAGGAUUUCAGAACGAGUGCCCUCAAAGUGUGUCACCUUGACAUGUGGACUAUGUUUGAGCUGAAGGCAAUCAAGGCCUGGCAGGCUUAAGAAAACCUUUUCCCCUUCCUGUAAGUACCUAGAAGAAUUUAACUUGGGGGUCUUUCCCAGAAUACGAUUUUUACCAGAGGUGAAUUUUAUCUGGCAGGGCAGACAUUUAAUUACCAAACAUCUGCUUUUCCUCUGGUCCUGUGCAUUCCCCUCCCCUUUGAAGCUCCGGGCCCCUACCUCGUUUCUUAGCUCAAGAUGGCAUAUACUCUUUAUUUUACCUUUCCGUCUUUGAGUCUCUCAUAUAUAUGGGGCUGCCACAUGUAUGAAAUUAAAUUUGUUUUCUCCUGUUAACAUUUCUAAAGUUAACUUGAUUGUUGAACCAGCCAGAGAACUGAAAAGGGUAGAGGAGGAAUUUUUCCUCCCUAACAAAACUAACAGUGAGAACACCUGGAUCUUGGACUUCAAGUCUUCGGACUAUGAGGAAAUAAAUUGCUAUUGUUUAAA